AGCGAACGCUGGCGGCAGGCCUAACACAUGCAAGUCGAACGGAACCUUCGGGUUCAGUGGCGGACGGGUGAGUAACACGUGGGAACGUGCCCUUGGCUCUGGAAUAACCCCGGGAAACCGAGGCUAAUACCGGAUAUGACCUCUAGCGGCAUCGCAUGAGGUGGAAAGUUUUUCGGCCAAGGAUGGGCUCGUGGCCUAUCAGCUUGUUGGUGGGGUAAUGGCCUACCAAGGCGACAACGGGUAGCCGGCCNGAGAGGGCGACCGGCCACACUGGGACUGAGACACGGCCCAGACUCCUACGGGAGGCAGCAGUGGGGAAUAUUGCGCAAUGGGCGAAAGCCUGACGCAGCGACGCCGCGUGAGGGAUGACGGCCUUCGGUU
rnacentral:rRNA from 1 species